AUAAGAUCUUUUUAGGGUUCUUUGUUGUGUCGUAAGGACUAAUGUGCAAACCCGAUUCAAGUGAUUCUGAUUCUGGACGCUUAACUCGACAGUCAAAACUAUCAAUUGAGGGAUUGCAAGGUAAAUACAAGCGAAGGUAAAGGAGAGAACAUAUUGAAGAAACUCCAAACUGGAGCAAUAUCCUUGUUUUGCGAAGGGCCCUCAACUUACACGUUAAGGACGAGGACCAUG
rnacentral:lncRNA from 1 species